GAAACAACAAACAACUUAGGAGACCUGGGCUCUUAUGCAUCUACCUAAUUUAAUUUCAGGGGUGAGCUGCACAGCCACAGGCUUGAUAUUAAUGAAUGCAGAGAGGAGGCUGCAGCCUUUUGUUACUGAAAGCAUAUCUCAGAAUAUGCAGGGAGACGCACAGUGCUAAUAAUCGGAGGACCUUUGUCGUGUGGUAUGAAAACAACAUGAGCAGCAUACAAAGUUGGGAGUGCGGAGCAGCCUCACUCGAGGUGAUGGAGUGA
rnacentral:lncRNA from 1 species